UUGGGAUACCUGGAGAUUAAAGAUCUUUGCUGCACAAGGCCAGGUAUAAGCUCAGGUAGCCUCCUAGGCAGUCCUGCACAUUGCCAUGGCAAUGGAUUUCUAACCUGACCUGGAGAGCCAAUACCUGGUGGAGAAAGAUAGGUCCUUCAUAUCCAUGGACCACAGUUCUUUAAGAAAU
rnacentral:sRNA from 1 species